rnacentral:rRNA from 1 species
UACACUCCUACGGGAGGCAGCAGUGGGGAAUUUUGGACAAUGGGCGAAAGCCUGAUCCAGCAAUGCCGCGUGUGUGAAGAAGGCCUUCGGGUUGUAAAGCACUUUUGUCCGGAAAGAAAUCCUUGGCUCUAAUACAGUCGGGGGAUGACGGUACCGGAAGAAUAAGCACCGGCUAACUACGUGCCAGCAGCCGCGGUAAUACGUAGGGUGCGAGCGUUAAUCGGAAUUACUGGGCGUAAAGCGUGCGCAGGCGGUUUGCUAAGACCGAUGUGAAAUCCCCGGGCUCAACCUGGGAACUGCAUUGGUGACUGGCAGGCUAGAGUAUGGCAGAGGGGGGUAGAAUUCCACGUGUAGCAGUGAAAUGCGUAGAGAUGUGGAGGAAUACCGAUGGCGAAGGCAGCCCCCUGGGCCAAUACUGACGCUCAUGCACGAAAGCGUGGGGAGCAAACAGGAUUAGAAACCCUUGUAGUCC